AGCCACAGUACAGGAGGCUCAGCAGAGCAAGACCGGGAGCAGAGAGGACAGGAAGGAGAUCUUGGAAGAGAAACUCCUGGACAGUGAUAACAGCCAUUGUGAGAUCAUGAGGCAACAGGCAUGAGGAAAGGGCUAAGACAGCAGAGAGGUGGACCCUGACAUGGAGGCGCCCCUACACCACCUCAAAGCUGCUUUUUCCUCAGAGGAAAGAUAACCUGGAGCCAACAACAUGCUUUGCCAGAGGUGGAUGCCACCCAGUAAUAGCACAUCAGAGUGCAAGGCACCCUGUGCGUGGGAUCCGUGAGAAAGCUUGUUCUGGCUGGAUCUCUGUAAUGGCCAGCCCCACUCCCACCACAUUCUAUGCUCAGAAAUAUUACAACUCUUUUGUUUCCUUGAAGGAGCCCUUCCCCCAAUCCCUCUAGGCUUUGCCAUACUGUUUUCUCCCUCCGAAACACUUCGUUUCUUGGUUACUUCUCAAUUUUCUGAGGACCCAACUUAAAAGGCACUUCCACUGGAGGAGCUGGAUAAAAGUCCCUCCACCUGCUAAGAGCUGCCUGGGCACCCAUCCACAUCCUGCAUUAUUCCCUGGGGCUCUGUCUCCCAUUUAACAGUGGGCUGUGUGAAGGCAGGGUCCAUGUGGGAUUUAGUCCCAGCCACACUUUCAGCACCUACCAUUAUGCCUGGUACAUAGUACAUGUCUAAUGGGUACUUCUGUAUGAAAUGAAUGAAUUCGUCUGUAACUCGAAGGACCAGUCAGAAGCAAGGGAGAGGCUGGAGGCACAGACCACAUACAGAACCCUUCAGAAAACCCAAUCAACAUCUGAGGCUGGAUUACACAAAACUGUAAUAUUUGGCCACUUUUCACUUAUUAGAAGAAUAAUUUUUUUGUGUGUUUGUUUUUUUAAG